rnacentral:rRNA from 1 species
AGAACGAACGCUGGCGGCAGGCUUAACACAUGCAAGUCGAACGCUCGUAGCAAUACGGGAGUGGCGGACGGGUGCGUAACGCGUGGGAACAUGCCCUUUGGUUCGGAAUAACCCAGGGAAACUUGGGCUAAUGCCGGAUACGUCCUGUGCCUUAGCGGGCAUUGGAGAAAGAUUUAUCGCCGAAGGAUUGGCCCGCGUCCGAUUAGCUAGUUGGUGAGGUAACGGCUCACCAAGGCGACGAUCGGUAGCUGGUCUGAGAGGAUGAUCAGCCACACUGGGACUGAGACACGGCCCAGACUCCUACGGGAGGCAGCAGUGGGGAAUAUUGGACAAUGGGCGCAAGCCUGAUCCAGCCAUGCCGCGUGAGUGAUGAAGGCCCUAGGGUUGUAAAGCUCUUUCGUCAGGGACGAUAAUGACGGUACCUGAAGAAGAAGCCCGGCUAACUUCGUGCCAGCAGCCGCGGUAA